rnacentral:rRNA from 1 species
UAGUCCACGCCCUAACGAUGCUAACUGGAUGUUUGGUUUUCGGACUGAGCAUCUGAGGGAAACCAUUAAGUUAGCCACCUGGGGAGUACGUUCGCAAGAAUGAAACUCAAAGGAAUUGACGGGGUCCGCACAAGCGAUGGAGCAUGUGGUUUAAUUCGAUGAUACGCGAGGAACCUUACCUAGGCUCGAACGCUAUUUGCCAGUCCCUGAAAGGGGAUUUUCCUUCGGGACAGAUAGUGAGGUGCUGCAUGGUUGUCGUCAGCUCGUGCCGUGAGGUGUUGGGUUAAGUCCCGCAACGAGCGCAACCCCUAUUUUCAGUUGCCAGCACAUAAUGGUGGGGACUCUGGAGAGACUGCCGGCGUAAGCCGCGAGGAAGGUGGGGACGACGUCAAAUCAUCAUGGGCCUUUAUGCCUAGGGGCGACACACGUGCUACAAUGGGUAGGUACAGAGGGGUAGCGAAGCCGCGAGGGUGGAGCCAAUCUCAUAAAGCCUAUCUCAGUUCGGGAUUGGGA